ACUCCUAUGGUCUAGUGGUUAGAGCAUCUGCCUCGGAUGCAUGAGGUCGUGGGUUUGAGACCCCUGUUGAGUC